rnacentral:misc_RNA from 1 species
CGCACAUUGCGCCCAUUGGUAUUCCGAUGGGCAUGCCUGUUCGAGCGUCAUUAUCCUCUCUCAAACCUCGGGUUUGGUGUUGGACCGGUGUUGUUUGGGUGACUGAACAACUGGUCUCAAAGACAAUGACGGCGUCCGUGGGACCCUCUUCGCAACGAGCUUUUCGGAGCACGCGUCGAGUUUAAAGGACCUUCCGGGCCGGUCUCCUUUUAUAUUUUCUAAGGUUGACCUCGGAUCAGGUAGGAAUACCCGCUGAACUUAA